CACAAGGGAUGGUUCCAUGUUCACUCGUACAAAGGUAAAGUUGUCCCAAACUCUCAUUAGAUUGAGAUAUACUACUAGAAGUUAUGUUGCUCCUACUAUCUCCCAGAUUGAUAGUAAAGCAAAUAUCUGGAUUGCCUAAUUCAUAGAAUUCAAGACUUUCAUGAACCUCACGCUUGCUAAGCAAUUCUACCUCUUAAUUUUAGUUAUGCUUCCAUUCAGUUCCUCGCCUAUAAACAAAUAAUCUUUUGAGUGUUUAGGGUAUCUAAUAAAGAUACAAUUUUUUUACUCAAUCCAUGAGAAAUCCAAACACCAACCCUAAUCCACACCGAUUAAUCUUGAGUUAAACUUGGAAGGAAGCUUUUGGUGGAAUCAUUUGAGGAAGAAAGUUCUUGUCUUGCAACUUAUCUUGGGGUUUGAGGUUUGUUGGUGAGCACGAGCAUAACUCGGGAACGAACUUUUGACAUUUACUCUACUGAUAUCGUUGACUCGAGCCAGAAGCGGACUUGGUCAGGCGGCUGGUGACCAUGGGACAAUGUUUGGUAUACUCGAAUAUUACCACAAAGUCUGGUGGAGAACUGGCCAGUGAAUUCAAUGCAAUGAAAUCAAUGAAUGAAUGACUUGAACACUGAAGGAGUUUUCACUUGAAAAUAUUUUCUAAUGUCGGAGGGAUAAGGAAAAUGGUUGGCGAAUGAAUGAAUAAAUGACUUGAUGAAUGGCUCCAAAUGAGCACGUAUCCUUUCAAUGAAUGAAUGAUUGAUUUUUGAAUGACUGCUUAUUACUGUGCCACGUGUGCAAAGUGUUUAAUGUAAAUGUUUCCAUGUUUUGCCUGCAUGAAUGCUUGUUUGGGAAUCUCACUGGAUUUUUAACUCAUUCUAUUAGUUUAUUUUCCUUAUAGGAAUAGAGGUUGAAGCAAGUAAGCGUGAACUAGUGUGUAUAAGUUUCUUGUACUUGUACUUUUAUGGAUUGAAUGUAUUUGGGAUAUUUGACAAUGUAAAGUUAAGUUUCAUUUUUGGCUUGUAAAA